rnacentral:rRNA from 1 species
GACGAACGCUGGCGGCGUGCUUAACACAUGCAAGUCGAACGGAAAGGCCCUGCUUUUGUGGGGUGCUCGAGUGGCGAACGGGUGAGUAACACGUGAGUAACCUGACCUUGACUUUGGGAUAACUUCAGGAAACUGGGGCUAAUACAGGAUAGGAGCUCCUGCUGCAUGGAGGGGGUUGGAAAGUUUCGGCGGUUGGGGAUGGACUCGCGGCUGAUCAGCUUGUUGGUGGGGUAGUGGCUUACCAAGGCUGUGACGGGUAGCCGGCCUGAGAGGGUGACCGGCCUCAUUGGGACUUAGAUACGGCCCAGCCUCCUACGGGAGGCAGCAGUGGGGAAUAUUGCACAAUGGGCGGAAGCCUGAUGCGACAACCCCGCGUGCGGGAUGACGGCCUUCGGGUUGUAAACCGCUUUCGCCUGUGACGAAGCGUGAGUGACGGUAAUGGGUAAAGAAGCACCGGCUAACUACGUG